UACGAAGGGGGCUAGCGUUGUUCGGAAUUACUGGGCGUAAAGCGCACGCAGGCGGCUCGAUAAAUUAGAAGUGAAAGCCCCGGGCUUAACCUGGGAAUUGCUUUUAAGACUGUCGGGCUAGAAUCCAGAAGAGGGUAGUGGAAUUCCGAGUGUAGAGGUGAAAUUCGUAGAUAUUGGGAAGAACACCGGUGGCGAAGGCGGCGACCUGGUCCUUGACUGACGCUGAGGCGCGAAAGCGUGGGGAGCAAACAGG
rnacentral:rRNA from 1 species